rnacentral:tRNA from 1 species
GGUACCAUAGCCAAGUGGUAAGGCAAUAGACUGCAACUCUGUGAUCAUCAGUUCAAAUCUGAUUGGUACCU